GGUUGUGGCUCAGUGGUAGAACACUUGCCUGGCACGUGAGGCCCUGGGUUCAAAUCUCAGCACCG
rnacentral:tRNA from 1 species